UCGGGUGUGGUGUAAUGGUAACAUCCAUGACUCUCAAUUUCCUCGACCUGAGGAUGAGGGUUCUCAUGUGCUCGGGGUUCGAUUCCCCGCAUCCGAG
rnacentral:tRNA from 1 species